rnacentral:sRNA from 1 species
UCACUUUUUUUAACAUUAUAGCGGAGCCC